rnacentral:rRNA from 1 species
UACAGAGGAUGCAAGCGUUAUCCGGAAUGAUUGGGCGUAAAGCGUCUGUAGGUGGCUUUUUAAGUCCGCCGUCAAAUCCCAGGGCUCAACUCUGGACAGGCGGUGGAAACUACCAAGCUGGAGUACGGUAGGGGCAGAGGGAAUUUCCGGUGGAGCGGUGAAAUGCGUAGAGAUCAGGAAGAACACCGGUGGCGAAAGCGCUCUGCUGGACCUUAACUGACACUGAGGGACGAAAGCUAGGGGAGCGAAUGGG